ACGAACGCUGGCGGCGUGCCUAAUACAUGCACGUAGAACGCUGAAGGAGGAGCUUGCUUCUCUGGAUGAGUUGCGAACGGGUGAGUAACGCGUAGGUAACCUGCCUGGUAGCGGGGGAUAACUAUUGGAAACGAUAGCUAAUACCGCAUAAGAGUAGAUGUUGCAUGACAUUUGCUUAAAAGGUGCAAUUGCAUCACUACCAGAUGGACCUGCGUUGUAUUAGCUAGUUGGUGAGGUAACGGCUCACCAAGGCAACGAUACAUAGCCGACCUGAGAGGGUGAUCGGCCACACUGGGACUGAGACACGGCCCAGACUCCUACGGGAGGCAGCAGUAGGGAAUCUUCGGCAAUGGACGGAAGUCUGACCGAGCAACGCCGCGUGAGUGAAGAAGGUUUUCGGAUCGUAAAGCUCUGUUGUAAGAGAAGAACGAGUGUGAGAGUGGAAAGUUCACACUGUGACGGUAUCUUACCAGAAAGGGACGGCUAACUACGUG
rnacentral:rRNA from 1 species